rnacentral:piRNA from 3 species
AAAGAUAUCCCAGAAGAAACUGAAGA